UCCCUUGUGGUGAAAUGGUAAACACACUUGAUUCAAAAUUAAGCUUUUGCCGGUUCGACUCCGGUCAAGGGUA
rnacentral:tRNA from 1 species